rnacentral:pre_miRNA from 1 species
UUGGAGACUUUGAAGACUUCUACUUACAUACUUGAAGUCUUACCUUUAUACUUGGAGGAUUUGAUACUUCAACUUGCAUACUUGGAGGAUUUGGGUAUUUCAAAU